rnacentral:rRNA from 1 species
GGAAUCUACCUAGUGGUGGGGGAUAACUUCGGGAAACCGGAGCUAAUACCCCAUAAGCCCUUCGGGGGAAAGUUUUUCGCCAUUAGAUGAGCCCGCGUUAGAUUAGCUAGUUGGUAGGGUAAUGGCCUACCAAGGCGACGAUCUAUAGCUGGUCUGAGAGGAUGAUCAGCCACACUGGGACUGAGACACGGCCCAGACUCCUACGGGAGGCAGCAGUGGGGAAUAUUGCACAAUGGGCGCAAGCCUGAUGCAGCCAUGCCGCGUGUGUGAUGAAGGCCUUAGGGUUGUAAAACACUUUCAUCGGUGAAGAUAAUGACGGUAGCCGAAGAAGAAGCCCCGGCUAACUCCGUGCCAGCAGCCGCGGUAAUACGGAGGGGGCAAGCGUUGUUCGGAAUUACUGGGCGUAAAGCGCACGUAGGCGGACUGGUCAGUUGGGGGUGAAAUCCCGAGGCUUAACCUCGGAACUGCCUUCAAUACUGCCAGUCUUGAGAUCGGAAGAGGUGAGUGGAAUUCCUAGUGUAGAGGUGAAAUUCGUAGAUAUUAGGAAGAA